ensembl:lncRNA
UGCUGGGGGUGGGUGGCAUGGGAAGCACAUCCUGCCUGGGGCCCGUCCAGGCACAUUGCUGGGGCUUGAGCACUUCUGCCUGCCUCUGUCAUCUCCUGCUUGAUGCAGAAGAUGCUGGGCUGAAAUGGCUGCUGGAGCCCUACAUAUGGAUGGACCCCACAGAACCACACAACUUUGCAGGGGAUCACACUGGACUCCUGGCGCUUACCCAGUUUUUCCUCAUGUGGUGUGGGUCUGUGGAAGCAAUGAAAACAGAGGAUCUGACCUGGAUAGAUAAUAUGGGAAAGCAGUACUGCGGAAUGUUGUUUCUGCAAAGAAAAAAGAGACCGUUACUGAACACAAGAAUUGCUGAAUAAAAGAAGCUAAUCUUGCAACAUAUUUGUUGAGAAACCAUUAAUAUACUUCCCUGUUUAAGACCAGCUGGCACAUCAUAGAAGACUUUUAUGAAUUUUCUGAUUUUAAUUAAUCCCUCAGGGUUCUCCAUUGACCUCAGGACAGUUACACAAGGAUGAGAUUUGUCUUCUUGUUAGAAACAAUUCUGUUUAUAAAUAUGUCUUUAAUUUUGGUAGAAGCUGGGUGGAUUCUUUACUCUUUCUCUGUAGAGCACUGUGAGUACAAAGUUAUUUGUCCUUUGUUUGGCUGCUGCUUAAUUAGACUUUUAAAUUCUAACCAAGCUUUUUAUGGGGCUUACCUGAUGCUGGGCUUUUGUCAUAAACCCAGCUUUCAUCACAGGCUCACAUGCUCCUGCUUGCAUCUGCCACAUGCUUUCUAGGAUUUUCUAGGUAAAAGAGCCCAAAUUUGUGCCUUUGAAGAUGUGGGUAACCUAAGGGCAGAGUCUUAUGUGGCUUCUCUUUUUUUCAGCUGCGAUGUCUGAGUUCACAAAGCUGGGGGCUCUGAGAGAGUUGGAGCUGGGUCUCCACGCAAAAUUAACUGGGAACAAACAAGCGCAGGAUAAGAUCACAGUUAACCCUCCCAUUAAAACCACCCAUCUUUGCCUUGGCCAUAAAUCUUCACAUGUGUCAACCUAAUCUUUGAUCAUGUUCACAGUCACAGCAAGAAGCUGUGGUGCUACAAAGAGUCUUCUCAGUCACUUGAGGAGCAAGUCCUGAGAGCUGUUGAGCUUGUGUAUUUACGUAAAUUCCUAUCUCUGUGUCAAGAAGCUUGCUCAUGUAUCAGAAAGGAAAGGUGGGGAAAGGAAGGCAGGACAGAAGCUACACACAUGUCCGCAUUACAUGUCAGCAUUACGCCUUCUUCAGGGGAGAGUGAAUCAGAAAUUUUGCCCUCCAUACAUCCUUUUUUUGAAGUGGUUCAUUUUGACUUGAUUUGACUGCACAGGAGACAUUGCAAACCAGCCUUCGUGCUGAUACUGCCAGCCAGUAGGUAAGGAAUCUGGUGCAGACAGCCACCACAGCACUGCCUAAAACACGCUCAAAAACAUCAGUCAUGGGGAUUACACAAUGUAUUUCACUGCUGUUUACAUGCAGAAAUCUCACCAUCGGGGUUAAUCUUGUAGAAGCAAGUACAAUUAGGUGAUACUUUGUAUGUAUGAUAAAACCUGAGCCACAGGGCUCUGUGCCAGGCUCCAUUCUCAUAAAUGAGUAAAUCCAGAGCAACUCCCCUAACUUCAUUGGAGAUUACAUCAAAGCUGAACUCAAAUUCAUAUUCUAGGUUCUCACUGCCUACACACAGCCUACAACAUUGCCUAAACUGAUCCCUGGCUGCCUCAUUUCUGGCACCUUAAAGGAACAGUCAACAAAUACACAAAUACAUAUAGGGGGUUGUAUUACCAUUAUUAUUAUUAUUAUUAUUAUUAUUAUUAUUAUUAUUAUUAUUAUUAUUUACAUACUCACAUGUAUGUAGUGUGAAUUAUUAUUAGCUGUGCUGGAAAUAGAAGCCUAACACCAAGAAUUUUCUGGUAUGGAUUUUACAUUUUAAUAAGUCCAUGUGCACCUAUGUGCUAUUCAUGCAGUGAGUAGAAUUUAUAGACUCAUGAGCCAUGAAAAAAGGGAGGAGAAAGAAAAGUUUAUCAGAACAACGGAGUGGAAAAUAACAUGGCAAUUUCAAGGUUAAUCUUCCAAACUUAGAGCCCUGAAAAGCAAUACUCAGGAUGACUACACUGGAGAAAAUAAUCAAGUUUUAUAUAGUAUGUUUUGGACUUUUGACAGAACUUUUAAGUCAGUUUUCCCAUUUCCUAGAGUAGUCCCUUAAUAAGGAUAUCCUGUGGCUUGGGUAGGCCAGUCCCACAGAAAGAACUUCCAGAGAAAUUAUUUUUAGUCUAAUUUCCUAGAGAUACCUGGUUAUUGACAUGAUUACAGAGCCUAGAGAUCCAUUUGUCUUUCUCCUUGUCCUCUUCCGUGAUUUUUGGCCAGUUGUAGCCAUAUCAAAAGAGACUUGUAGAACCCUUAAAUUAAUUACAUUCCUACAGGUUUUGUGAUCUUUAGGGUCUGGGUGGAGAAGAGAGACCUAAGAUACUACUUUUGCCAUGAGCUCUGAAAACUACUACAAGAUAUUAAAGGAAGAUACCCAGGAGAAGGGAAGUUUAAAUGCUCCAGCCAUAGGAAAUGCUUCCAUCAGAACCUGCACUGUAUGAGGUGCAGAAUGUCAAUAGUCACUAAAGCUCGAGUAAUCAGAGCUCCCUGGAAUCUUCUGCUCAGGGAACUCCUCAUAAAACAAUGAGAAACACGAUGCUUCCACUGGAAAAUGCGAUAAGGUGUAGAAGGAUAGAAUCUGAAUGCAGUUUUAUGACAUUAUUCCAGUUUUCUAAUAAAUCACUAGUAAUUUUCUAAUUGCCUGUGACC